UACCACUUGAAAAGGAAGGUGAGAAUGGAGAGGUAGGUUUUUGUCUCGUGAAAGUUUCAAAAAAAGGUGGGUGAAUGCAGCAAAGAUGGUGCGUGCGAGUGACGAAACCACUUUGAGCAUGAUCCUGUAAGUCGUAAAAGAGAGAGAGAGCACUUUGCUCUCAUGCGUUUAUUUCCUCCCUGCCUGAGGUUACCGUGGUCUUUUCUGUAGGCUUUUCUUUCCACGGAUGAACCUAAUCUUGUUUGUUACUUUGAAAAAAAAAUUGUUUUUUCUUUCUGUGAUACACGUUCCCUUUUGAUGCUCUUUUUUUUCUUCCGAUCGAUUUUGAUCGAAAUUUUACAUUUGUUUCCUUUUGUUUUCUUCUUUUUCCUUUUCCAUCUUCGAAAAGAAAAGCUCUACAUUUGUAAUUGUCCCCUCUGUGUCCAGCCCUUUGUGGCCAAUAAAGAAAGUUAUCUAUCUAUCUUUCCUAUGUAUUCAUUACGUUCACAGAAUAUUGGUAAAACUAAGGCUACAGUAGAAGCUGUAUGUCCAAUGUGAUGAAACAAGAAAUUCUGCGUGUGCAUAGCAAACCUCUUUACUCCACAUUCAUACAUCUGUGUAUAUUCAUAUAUUCAGAUACUUUAUCCGUAUUCUCCAUGUCGCAUAACAUAACCAUCUUAAUCCUCAUAAAUACACGCACAUCUAUAUAUAUAUAUCAAUAUAUGCGUCUGUAUUCUACUGUUUGCAUUCCGUAACAAGCACCUAUUCUUUUGAGUCAUUAUAUCAACCGUACUUCUUUCUCUUGUGCUUCAUUUAUGUUCAGUCAGAUCAACGAGAACAUGGUGGUACCUGGUGUUAGUCGUGGUGGUGAUUGGGUAAAACGAAAAGAUGUAAGAAAACACUUUUAUGUCCCUAGUACUUUUGUGACACUAAUUUCUCUGUGUGUGUAUGUGUGUGCGUAUGUGUUUGUGUAUAUAUGUAUGUGUACACACACACGCACAUAUAUAUAUAUAUAUAUAAACACACACACAUGCAAACACACACACAUGUAUUUAUGUACAUAUGCGCGCAUACAUGUAUGUAUGCAUAUAAGCAUACGCAGAUAUAUUUAUAUACAUAUGUCUAUGCAUACAUACGCACGCGCACAAACUGCCGAAUACAUGUAUCCGAUAUUAUGCGUAAUCGAUAUCUCUACUGCCAUAUAAUUAAAAUUCAUAAUUAUUAAAUCUUAUAAAACAACGUAAAAACGUACAGUAUGAUGUAAUUCUAUGGAAUACAGGAAGACUACACGUUCAUCGAGAAACAAAAUAACAAUAGUAAUAAUAAUAAUAAUAAUAAUAAUAAUAAUAAUAAUAAUAAUAAUAAUAAUAAUAAUAAUAAUAAUAAUAAUAAUAAUAAUAAUGAUAAUAAAACAUUCAUUAUUAUACAAACAUUUUAGAAGGAGUGAACGUUAAUUAUAUUUAAGAUUGUAAUAUAAAUUUCACAGAUAAUUGCCAAUCAAAGUCUUCCUCCCACGCAACGUAACAGCAACACAACAUGGACAUAUCUACAUUGGUAUUAGUAUUAUUAGUAGUAAUCUCGGCAAUGGGUAGAAAAACUUGUUCUAACGACGGUUGCAUAUAUCUUCAACGCACAAACCAGGACAUAUCAAGCAGAAUACUAAACUAGCAGGAGGAACAUGCGAAGCAUGUAAAAGUAUAUCGCAAUAAGGAAUGUCAGGACUAUCCAUCCAUGCAUGCAUCCAUCCAUCCAUCCAUCCAUCCAUCCAUCCAUCCAGCCAGCCAUCCAGCCAGCCAGCAAGCCAUCUAUCUAUCUAUCUAUCUAUCUAUCUAUCUAUCUAUCUAUCUAUCUAUCUAUCUAUCUGUCUGUCUGUCCGUCCGUCCGUCCGUCCGUCCGUCUGACUGUCUGUUUACGUUUAUUUAUUUAUUUAUAUAAACAUUUAAUCUAUAAACGUUAGUCUGACAAAAUAUAUUUUGUUGCGCUAAAGAAUAUGGAGAGAAUGAUUAUUACCUCUCUGCAUGAUUCUUGAGUUAUUUAUCCUAAAUUACCGGACAUAGCGUUUGUUUGAAUUUGACACUCCAUACAUACAUGCGUACCUACACACCUACACCUCUCACGCGCACAGACACACAUGCAUAUAUAUAUAUAUAUAUGUUACCUGUGUGUAUGUGUGAGAGUGUAUAUACAUGUGUGUGUGUGUGUGUGUGUGUGUGUGUGUGUGUGUGUGUAGUGACGUGCAUGUUAUUUUUGACCGGUUCCGGAACACUCGAAGAUGAAUGGCAUUGCCUGUGCGAUGUUUUCUCGGCGAAAAAUUCUCAUUUUCAACAUUUGUUUGUUUGUAUAUGUGUAUGUGUUUGUAUGUAUUUGUACGUGUGUGCGAUUGUUCGAGUGUAUAUGUGUAUAAUAAUAGGCUUCGAAAUGGAGAGAUUCAAUGGCUUUAAAUUAAUUAAUUAAUUAACAUUGCCUACAAUUGUUUCACUUCACUCCCAAUUUAAAUUACGAAACAUAAUAAUAUAAAUUUGCAUGUGUGUGCAUGUUUUAUGUAUGUGCUUGUUCCCACCCCAGACAAAACGCUUGAUAACCUGUGCUGGCGUGAUUACGUCCCUGUAACUUAGCGGUUCACCAAAAAGGACCUAUAGAAAAUGUACAAGUCUUUUGAAAAUCAGUACCGGGGUCGAUACAUUCGACUAAAGUUUCCUGGGAGCAGAAUACGUUCAUAUCAACAAAUGUUUUGCGUGUGUCUCACUCUCAACAUCUGAUGGUAUGGACAUGUUCUCUGAUUAAAAAAAGUUAAUGGAAUGUGGAGCAGAAGAUUCGCUUAUAAAAUACAUACAACUGUAAAUCAUUCUGAUUCUUUUUCUCGUUUGUUUACUGUAUUGUUUCUAUACAUAUACAUACUUACAUACAUCAUGUGAUCACGAGAGCAACGAGAAGAUCGGAUGUUGUUUUCCAUCGCUAUUCACAAUGCGCUUUGCAUCGUUUUAGUUAUCAAAAGAUGCCACUCCAAUGGUUAGGCAAGCAGGCCAACAUUAUCUUCUAUCGAAAGGCCACUUCUUUACAGACAGGGUGACUCCUUUACGGUUGAGUGGACUACGGCAACAUGGCAUGAAGUAUUUUGCUUGAAUGCACACAGCACCGAUCGAUCCGUGAAGCCAGCCCACGAUCUACCAAUCGUGAGUGCAACACCUUAACCACUAGGCCACCCGCUACACGCGCGCACACACGCGCACACACAUACAUAUAUAUAACAUAUACAUAACGGCGGUGCAUCAGCAUGGCCGCACCUCUGAGCUGAAACAAGAAAAAAAAUAACAUACACAUACGAGGCUCUGUGGUAGGAAGCCUGCUUCACAAUCACAUAGUUCCAGGUUCAGUCCCACUGCGUGGCAUAUUAGGCGAGUAUCUUCUACAAUAGCCGCCAGCAGCCAAAGGCCUUGCGAGUGGAUAUAGUUGACGGAAACUGAAAGAAGCCUAUUGUAUAUAUAUAUAUAUAUGAUAUUAUUAAUAAGUUUCAAAUGGAGAGAUUCAAUGGAUUUAAAUUAAUUAAUUAAUUAAUUAAUUAAUUAACAUUGCCUACAAUUGUUUCACUUCGCACACAAUUUAAAUUACAAAACAUAUAUAAUAAUAUAAGUUUGCAUGUGUGUGUGUGGUUUUUGUGGCUGUGCUUACCUCCCCCAGCACAACGCUUGAAAACCGGUGAUGGCGUGUUUACGUCCCUGUAACUUAGCGGUUUGCCAAAAAUGACCUGUAGAAUAAGUACUAGCCUUUUGAAAAUAAGUAUCGGGGUCGAUACAUUCGACUAAAAAUUCUUCAAGGACGUGCCCCAGCAUGGCCGCAAUCUAAUGACAGCAACAAGUAAAAAAUGGAAGAUAAAAGCUAUAUAUAUAUAUAUAUAUAUAUAUAUAUCAACAUUAACAAUAAAGCUAUAUGUGUCUCAAACCGCACCCUCCUACGAAUAAACAGUCAAUAAUAAAUAUUAGUGUGAUUUCAUUUGUUCACCAAACCAAUUUAAUAUGAAUUCAGACAGUAAUGAACAUACAAGAAAAAAAAAAAUGAAAAAAAAUAAUAGAAUAAAAAUAAAAAUAGAAUAAAAAUAAAGACAAGUAAAUCAAAUAUCAUUUGUUCUUGAACUUAAGAAAAGACGAAACAUUAAAUGUCAAAGUUUCAAAAUUUCCUAAAACAACAGAAAAAGAAACAGAAUACCGAAAACACUCUUGAAUAUAACAUGUCAGUGGAAGCACAAUGGCCCAGUGGUUAGGGCAGCAGACUCGCGGUCAUAGGAUCGCGGUUUCGAUUCCCAAACCGGGCGUUGUGAGUGUUUACUGAGCGAAAACGCCUAAAGCUCCACGAGGAUCCGGCAGGGGGUGGGGUGGCGAACCCUGCUCUACUCUUUCACCACAACUUUCUCUUACUCAUUCUUCCUGUUUCUGUUGUACCUGCAUUUCAAAGGGGCAGCCUUGUCACACUCUGUAUCACGCUGAAUCUCGCCGAGAACUACGUUAAGGGUACACGUGUCCGUGAAGUGUUCAGCCAUUUGCACGUUAAUUUCAUGAGCAAGCUGUUCCGCUGAUCGGAUCAACUGGAACACUCAUCGUGGAAACCGACGGAGUGCCACGAUGAUAACAUGUCAAGGUGAAAAAUAAUCGAAACAUCAAAUAUCAUUCAGGUACUUACAAAAGGGAGGUACUUGCAAAAAGGGAAAGAGGCGAUGUUUAAUACAUAGGCCCAAGCGUGGCUUUGUGCUAAGAAGUUUGUCUCCCAUGGUUCUGUGUUCAGUCCCACUGCGUAGCACCUUGGGCGAAUGUUUUCUACUAUAUCACCAGAUCAACCAAAGCCCCAAAGCCUUGUAAGUGGAUUUGUAGACGGAAACUGAAAGAAGCCCGUCUUAAGUGUGUAUGUGUGUGUAUGUAUGUUUGUAUGUAUGUGUGUCUUUGUGUCUGUAUUUGUUCUCUAUGAUUGCUUGACAACCGGUGGUGGUGUGUUUACGACCCCGUAACUAAGCGAUUCGGACAAUCACAAAAGUAGCACGCUUUAAAAUUUGAGUCGAUACUUUCGACGAAAAUUCUUCAGGGUGGUGUCCCAGCAUGGCCGCAGUUUGAUGAUUGAAACAAGUAAAUGAAUUAAAGAACGUAGAUACAUACACACGCAAACACACACACUCGCGCACACUCACACACUCACGCGCACACACACACAUGCACACACACACGCACAUACACACGCGCACACACACAUACCACGUUCCCCUUCCCUUUCACUUCACACUCACAUCUGUCACGUCCUCUUCCUCUCACGCCAAUACAUCAACGUCCCACAUUAUUCCACGCCACUACACACCCAUAUUUGCACACCUCUAUACAUUUCAAGAAACUACACGCACCUUAUACCACCCUACAUAUAUAUACACCCACGUAUGCCCAUUUCUAUACAAAGAUACCCUCUCAUACGUGUACACACCACUCACUGUAUCGUAUUCCAGCCUGGCGUUUAAUAGUUUUUAUGUUCGAACAAUCUUUUCUCAUUCUUUUAAUUUUUUCGCCACAUCCUUUCAUUCUUGAAUUUUUCUGAUGAAGGGCUUGCGUCCGAAACAUAAAUACGCUUUCUAUUCUUUUUAAGCGUUAAACUAACACAGCAUUUAUAUUAGUCGGCUCAGGUAUAUAACUGAAGAUACCUGUCCAAAGCACAGCAGAGUUGGUCUGCAUCAGAGAUGAAGUGGUUGAAAAACGAACUUUUGAAACAGAAUCAUUUCUGGACCUAAAAGUAACUUGAGCACAAAACAUCCAGCCCCGGAGGCCGAUUCUUUAGCCAUUUAAUUGUAAAUUGCUUUUCAAUACUAACUUUGUUUAUUAGGAUUCUUUCUGUGAAGAUCCUUGCUUUGAAAGCAAAAAGACUCUAAGAAAAUUGUCGCAAAGUUUGGCUGAAUCAGUUAAUUCCCGCUUUAAAUAAACGUUCGUUUAUACAUAAGCAUAAAUCUUCCAGUUGCACAUCUUCCUCUUUAGAAUCCACUGAUAAAGGCAAUACAACACGUAAUUUACUGUUGCUAAACAGAAAUAUGAGCUGCUGUCUUGAGUAGAGCUAUUUAACGUAUGAAUGAAUUUAACUUGAUAUUUACAGUUUUGUUUUAUUUCCAACAGUAUUCCAACUCAUCCACCAUUGUAUUACAUUAUAUUAUUGCAUUAAACAUGGAUUUAUACAAUUUUUAUUGGUCUUUCUCUUAACAUGGUUUUCAUAAAACACAAAAGGAUACAUAUACACUCCCACAUACACUUGUGCUUAUGCAUAUGUAUAUAUAUAUAUAUAUAUAUAUAUAUAUAUAUAUGUAUGCAUAUGUACAUUCAUAUAUAUGUAUAUAUAUAUGUGUGUAUAUGUGUGUAUAUAUAUAUAUAUAUAUACAUAUACAUACAUACAUAUAUAUAUAUAUAUAUAUAUAUAUAUAUAUAUGUAUGUAUGUAUAUCUAUCUAUCUAUCUAUCUAUCUAUCUAUCUAUCUAUCUAUCUAUCUAUCUAUCUAUCUGUCUGUCAGUCUGUCCGUUUAUCUAUCAAUGCAGAGAAAGUGAAAGAGAGAGAGGAAGCGAGCUGCGAGAAUAGUAAAGAAGAAAUCUAGUAAUUUGUUAGAAUAUAGGACGAAGACUGCUCUAGUGCAGCAGACGGGGAAAGAAAAAAGGCUGAGUCAGUUGUAGUCAAGUUGUAAUCGGUUUAAAUCAUAAGCUGGACACGUGAUCCUGACCCGGAUGUAAAAAAAUAGGCUUACUAAUACACGAACUUUAGCAAAAACCGCUUCAGUAACUUUUCACUUCUUUCCUCUACAAAAUAAUACAAAACAACAAAAAAAAUAUAAACAACACGAAAUCAGGAUAAAACCAGCAAAAUGGUAAUCUUCAAAAAAUCGAAAAAUACAAGAUGUUUACGGAAGUAUUCUAAGUUUUUACUGUUUUCCCUACAUUUUUUCUCACUCAACCACUCUCUGUCUCUUUAUUUCUCUCCUUCUCACUCUCCCUAUGUCUUCAUGUAUGUGUGUUUCCCAUGUCAGUAUACGUGAGAGAUCAUAUAAUCUUCCAUUGGUAUAUUUUUAUUUGUAAAUAUUUAGCUGCCUGUCUGAAUGUGGUUCAUCUUGUAUGUAUGUACUUUGCGGCUCCUGCCUCCACAUUUAUCUAUAUUUCUGUUUGUCUGUCUUUUUGUCUAAUAAUCUAUUUGUCUGAUAACAUAUCUGUGAAUGAUUGUGUUAUUACUUAUGUAUAUUAUACCUUUGCCGUGCGAAUAUCUUUCAGUAAUGAUCUCAAUCUCUUCCCCACUCAACACCUUAACUUCCCCUCUCUUUCGCCUCUCCAUAUGUACAUGUGUACGUAUGUCUACACAUUUGUGCGUGUAUAUAUAUAAUUUACACACAUACGCCUUAUGCAUGUAUAUAUAUAUAUAUAUAUAUAUAUAUAUAUAUAUAUAUAUAUAUAUAUAUAUAUAUAUAUAUAUAUAUGUGUGUGUGUGUGUGUGUGUGUGUGUGUGUGUGUGUAUAAAUAAAGUGAAAGAGAGAGGGAAAGAGAAAUUUCUAUGUACUACUCUUUGGCAGUGAAUGUUUAUACAUAUGAAAGCCGUUUUGUUUCUAUCACAAUACGGUAUUUGUGUAUAUAUAUAUAUAUAUAUAUAUAUAUAUAAAAGUGAUUUUUUUAAAUGUUUGUGGUGUAAUGCGGAUUUAUGCAUAACUAGAUGUCGCUUACUUGCAACUCCACUCAUACAUUCAGACAGACAAGUGUACACAGAGGCAUAUGAAGAAAUACUUCUACAUAUAUCAUUACGUUUCAUCGUAGCAGAUUCCGAAAUAUAGGUCAUAGGAAUCCAGCUAUUGGAAACUUUGGUAAAUUGAUUAGAAAGAGCAAAUAGCAAACAGAGGUCUUCAAAAAGUAGUCAUGGAGUUAUAACGUGUGAGACAAGUUAACUUCACUUCGCACAUAGUGCCAACAAAUUAAUGUAAGACGGCCGCAUUUGGGGAACCGAUGUGCCAACCACGUAUACUGAUUCCAAGGUUAUUAUAAUUAUGUCUGUGUUAAGUGUUGUACAUUUGUAGAAUAUUGGAACUUCGGGGGAAAUGCCCUGCAAUAUUUGUUCCGGCCUUAUACAUUCUGAGUUCAAAUCCCACCGCAGUCAGCUGCAUCUUUCAUCUUUCUAGAGUCAACAAAAACUAACCACAGUUCAUCAAUGUUAUCGAUUAGUCCUCCUCCACAUACCGCCUUGAUCUGAAAUCUGUUUCUUUAUUGCCCACAAGGGGCUAAACAUAGAGGGGACAAACAAGGACAGACAAAUGGAUUAAGUCGAUUACAUCGACCCCAGUGAGUAACUGGUACUUAAUUUAUCGACCCCGAAAGGAUAAAAGGCAAAGUCGACCUCGGCGGAAUUUGAACUCAGAACGCAACGACAGACGCAAUACUGCUAAGCAUUUCACCCGGUGUGCUAACGUUUCUGCCAGCUCGCCGUCUUGAUCCGAAAUCAUUAUCGUCAUCGUUGAUGUACCACCAAUGUCCAUGUAAACAUAUCUUCAUUAUACCAGUGAUUUUUGAGCUCAAAUAUCUUUCCCGAAGCAACGCACGAUCUAGAAUCUGUAACUGUAGAAUUUGUUUUGUUUUUUUUCUUUGCAACUGGAUCAUCAUAGAAUUAGAUUUUACGGUCCCCAUCCAUACAUCCAUACAAAGCAAUUAAAGAACGAAUAGAGAGAAAUGGGCAAAGAAUGGAACCCCUGUGAUAGUGCGACAUCCAAUUACUGUAUCAAUUUUUAUUAACGAAAAAUCUGGUCUUAGGUUACAAAUCAAUCACCAUGAAAAAGUAUUAACCAGAGACUGUGCUUUGAUCAUGUAUAGAAUGACAUAUUAUAUGGCAAGGAAGCCUUUUCCUCUCCUACCAAAAAAAAAAAAAAAAGAAAAAUGAAACAGAAGAAGCAAAUCAGAAAAAAUGCAGUAGAAGAUUUGAAGAUUUAUUUCAUGGCUGAAAACUGUUUAUUUCAUUAGACUUAAGGUAAAAAAAGUAAAAAAAAAAAAUAAUAAUUAGCUGACGUCGUUAGAAUUUGAACCUAUAAUGAUUGAAGAUUCACAGAAACGUGUUAGAAGUUAUAAAGUUAUAUACAAUUGCAGCCGAGGUGGGAAAUAUAUCCGUCUGCCUAUCUAUUUAUAUCUAUAUAUGUAUCUAUGUGUGUGUAAGUGUGUGUGUGUGUGUGUGUGUGUUUGCGUGUGUGUAUGACUAUAUAUGUAUAAGUAUAUAUAAAUAUAUAUAUAUAUAUAUAUAUAUAUAUAUAUAUAUAUAUAUAUAUAUAUAUAUAUAUAUAUGUAUGUAUAUAUAGUUGUAAAAGGCAUAAAAUGAAGGAAAUGAUUUUGGUCGACAAAUCAACCAAGGAUACACAGUUUCUAAAAUAGUUUAGAAUCAAUUCAAAAUUUACGAAGUAAUUUCGUGAUGGUGAAUUUAAAUUUGUCGCCUGGAUGGGUAGCAACAAUGCACUUUACUAGAAAGAAGGACUCUUGCCUUGUUAUUUCUGAAAGAAAGUGAAUCAUUUCAGGCAUGUUGCAGCCUGAAGCUUUGCUAUGAAUGACCAAAGACAAAAAAAUAGAAAGAAAUCUCCGCAAAAUGUAAAAACAAGUAACUAAAAUGAAACCUCUUCACAAGUAAAUGGCAAAAUUUGGUACCAAUUCAUGAAACAAAGUGUAAAUGAUCUCUCGCAGAAAAUCCAAUAUCUUGGGAAUGGUUAACAAGAUUGUGAAGAAAACAUGCGUAAAAUAGUUUACAGCGCCAUCUGUCUAAAAAUAACCUGUUUGUUAAGUAAAUGUCUGAUUAUAAGUUAAAGUUAGAUAACAAUUUAUAGAAGAUAUUCUCUGAAGCACAGACAAAUGUAUAUAAAUUGUAUUUACUUGACACUCUUCAAUCUCAAUCUCUCUCUCUCUUUAUAUAUAUCUCUCUCUCUCUCACUCUGUCUGCGAUCUUUUUAUCUCUGUCACUAUUCCUCUGUUUCUGUUAUCCUCACCUCUAAUUUUCUUUAUGUAUCUCUCUAUUUCUCUGUCUCUCUCUGCCUCUGUCUUUUUCUCUCUGAACCUCGACAUUUCUUGUGCAUAAUCUCAAAUAUACGCAAACAUUUACUCAAUAGAUUUUAAUAAUAUAAUAGCAUAUAAUUAUGUCUAGAAGUUAUUUUUGAAUACAGCCCAUCCUCUAUCUAUCUAUCUAUCUAUCUAUCUAUCUAUCUAUCUAUCUAUCUAUCUAUCUAUCUAUCUAUCUAUCUAUCUAUCUAUCUAUCAAUCUAUCUAUCUAUCUAUUAUCUAUCUAUCUAUCUAUCUGUCUGCCUAUUUAUCUGUUUGUCUGUCUGUAUAUAUAUAUAUGUAUAUACAUAUAUAAUAUAUACACAUACAUACAAACACACACACAUACAUAUAUAUAUAUAUAUAUAUAUAUAUAUAUAUACAUACAAACAUAUAUAUAUAUACAUACAUACAAACACACAUAUAUAUACACAUACAUACAUAUAUAUAUAUAUAUAUAGAUACAUACAAUAUAUAUACACACAUACAUGCAUAUAUAUAUAUAUAUGUAUAUUCAUGUUAGUCUGUAACUUUGAAAUUUCACCAGUAACCACCCUUGAAUUGAAUAUUAUUUCAAUAAAUGCCUGUAUGUAUGCAUGUAUGUAUGUAUGUAUGUAUGUAUGUAUGUAUGUAUGUAUGUAUGUAUGUAUGCAUGCAUGCAUGCAUAAACAAACACAUACACAUUCACAUGCACUCACACACACCCAUUCACACACAUACACAUAAAGGCAGGGCUGCAGUUAAAUGACUGAAACAAGUAAAAGAUAGAAGAUACAUAAGUAUGUAUAUACAUACACACACACACACACACACACACACACACACACACACACAUACACACACACAUAUAUAUAUUCAUAUACAUAAAUAUAGUAGUAUAUCGAGAUUAAAACUGACGUAUUUAUUUAUAUAUCAAAAUGUAUAACCAGAGUUUUGUAUAUUUUAUGACGGUGUAUAAAGAGACUUGCCGAUCGUUUAUUUAUAAAUAAACAAUCAUGAUCGUAGUGUUUCUACAUAUCGUCAUAAAACAUAUAAAACUUUUAAGCACUAUAAACCUGCCACAUUUCCGAAAGAUGUGACCUCUCCAUAUUUAUAUAUUUUAUAUACGAUAAAAUAUUUUACCUAUAUCCUAUAUUUUCUAAUUUCAUUUUGUAUUUAUUUACUUUUAUUUUUAGUUAUUUUGUUCUAUUUUAGCAUCGUCUAACCACCUUUUAACUUUUUGCAACAAAUAAAUACAUUAACUUAAUAAACGAGUCAUCUGGCACAAUCUGUCUUUAUAUAUACAAAAAAUGGUGUUAAAACUUAUGAAAUUUUUCAAAUUAAAACUUUUGAAAUUUUUAAAAAUUAAAACUUUUGAAAUCUUUGAAAUCUUUAAUCUAUAUUUUAGCAAGUUUGUGCUAAAAUAAUAAAACUAGUAUAAAACCUCGAAUUUAAAUAUUUAAACUUUUAAUUUUAAAUUGACUUUAUAUCUCAAUUAAAUCGAUUCCACAAAAUUUACAUCCUCCUUCAUAAAUUCAAACGAUAACAUAUCUUUGGUUGACCAUCAUCAUUUCGAUAAAAUCUACAUUUGCAUUACAUUUGCCACGAUAAGAAUAAUUGAACUCCUAAUUUGCUCCAGUAAAACUGUAUCUAUAAUUCAACCCCACUUAAUUACUAUAAGAGAAAAAAAUAUGAAAGCUACGUCUUCUUUGUAGGACACAAGGUAGAACAGCUAUGAUGAUGACACUUAUUGAGGCAGAAACAUGUAUCUACAGUUAUCUUCUUUUCUUCAGACUGUCCUUCUUUUAAUAUUUCAAUUAUAGAGAAAUUUUUUAUUCUUGAGAUUAUGUCUUCUCAUUCCUACCAAUUUACAUGAUUUCAAUAAACUCUGAAUUUAUCGUGCGUGUUAUUUAUUAUACAUCUCUUUGUAUUUGUUCUUCAAAUCUAUGCGGCUCUGAGUUAUUUCUCUUUACUCAUUUACUUUCACUUAUACAGAUACUUUAUUGCUCAAAUAAAAGAACUCCAUACCCCACUACUCACACAGCUCCUUUUACUUCCAUGUUUGCUCUUCAUUUUUGCUUUAUUGAAUGAUACAAAGGUGGCAUACAUUUGAAGACGAUACCGAUAUUGCUUCGUUUUCCAAGGUCAUUAUAUAUAUAUAUAUAUAUAUAUAUAUAUAUAUAUAUAUAUAUUCAUACAUACAUGCAUACAUACAUACAUACAUACAUACAUACAUACAUACAUACAUACAUACAUACAUACAUACACACACACACAUAUAUAUAUACGUGUAGGCGCAUGAGUGUGACUGUAUACAUUUAUCCAUAUGUAUAUGUGCGUGUGUGUGUAUGCGUGUUUAAGAGAUGAGUGUGUGUAGACAAGAUAGAUAAUAUUGUAAUAUGUGUAUGCUACCCAUGCUUUCCACCUAUACACAAAAGCAAACUGCAACAUUACACUCUCAGCUAGUGUAUAUUUACAUGACUACGUUCAGCAUCAGUUGUGAUACACAUAUCAGAAAAUAUAUUCGAUGUAAGAAAGAAAACAAAGCCGCUUCUUCUGCGAUGCUAAUUCAACGAAGUGAUCACAGUGACCAUGGUUAUUUCUGGACCAUUCAUAGUUAUGAUGCAGUGAGCAAAAUAGACAAAGUCUUUUAGUCUAGUUCAGGCUUUAUGUUCUUGAUUAAAUUGAGUUUCUUUAGCUUGAGAUUGUGUGAGAUUUGUCUCUCUUUGCUUGAAAACACGUCGGAUAAAACCGAGAAGAAGAAUUUUUGCACGUUUCUGGGAUCGCCUACCGUAACAAGUUCAAACCUUUCUCUCUCAGCCUGUUACAACUUGUUUUUAAUAUCCGGCGGUUGUAAAUCUCAGUUGGACACUAAUGAUAUGUUCGGAAAUGAGAUGCUUUUGAUAGCAUAAGUUCAGCAGUCUCUGUUUUUGAGAACUGUUUGUGAAUUGUGGAGAGGAACAAGACAAAAUGGAGAAAAAAAGGAAAAAAAAAAAAGCAAUGGCUCGUUAGAAUAAUUUUACAAAUCACUGACUUAAGAGUGAUCUAACUGAUCUAUCUAGGAAAUUUCAUAGCACUUCAAGCCAAGCCUGACUGAUGCAUCAGCUUCCGAAAUGCCAUAUAAAACUGAAUGCUCAGUGUUCCCAUUUCAGACCUGCAACCGCUUAAAAUUCCUACCUAUUCACAGUUGUUACAGAUUCCAACGCGUGGAAACUGUAGCAGAACGACACCAUAUACUAAACCAGCCUUUGUUGAUCAGCAAAGGUCAACAUCACUACAUAUUCUUCAGAUGAAUAGAAAAGAAAAGCAACAAAAACAGACAAAGAAAAAAAUUAGAAUUACAGUCAAGAUUCAAAACUCGUUCCUAUGAUUUUAUAUUCGUUGUAUGAUUUUUUUCUUGUAUUGUAUUAUUAAAACAAAAAAAAAAAUUAUUGUAUGAUACUUUUCUGUUUGUUAUGUUUCAGCUGUUUACCAUUACCGUUUUAUUUCUGGUUUAAGUAGAACGAACUUUUAAUGAGACUAAACAUAGUUACUUUCUAAAACUAAAAAAUUGUUUCUUGUUAUUUUCUCAAAAUGACACUCUAAUUAGCGACAGGAUAUCAAUUCCAUUUCAGUAUUUCAAACAAGUUGGUGCUGCCGUGUAAUAUUCAGGUCCACAAUGACUUCAAGGCUAACAGUAUUUCACGAAGAGCAUCCAGCUCAGAUGUUUUGCUAAAACAAGGAGUGUUUCUGUAAAUUCUCUC
rnacentral:lncRNA from 1 species